rnacentral:tRNA from 1 species
GCGCUCAUAGCUCAGCUGGAUAGAGCACUUAGCUACGAACUAAGGGGUCGGGAGUUCGAAUCUCUCUGAGCGCACCA